UCUGACACUGCAAGCGGCUCUCUGCAGUCACCGCUCCGCUGCCUUCCUCCUCACAGUGCCGCUGCCCAAGUGUUUGCACCUGCUGACACACUGCGCCUCGGUCCCGCUGCGGGGCUUGUGCUGAGCUCCGUUUAUGCUGCAGGAUGCACUUUUGUCAGGUGCUCCCAGGGCUGAGCUGGCAGGGGGCCACCCUGAACCUGAGACCUUGGAGAAGCUGAACCAACACAAGAAGGGACACCAGAACCCACCAGCUUUGCCUGCUGUGAGGAGACCCACAACAGAAAGGUGA
rnacentral:lncRNA from 1 species